UGGCCGCAAGGUCCGAGUUGUAAUUUGCAGAGGAUGCUUUUGGCGAGGUGCCUUCCGAGUUCCCUGGAACGGGACGCCAUAGAGGGUGAGAGCCCCGUACGGUAGGACCACCGAGCCUUUGUAAAGCUCCUUCGACGAGUCGAGUAGUUUGGGAAUGCUGCUCUAAAUGGGAGGUGUACGUCUUCUAAAGCUAAAUACCGGCCAGAGACCGAUAGCGCACAAGUAGAGUGAUCGAAAGAUGAAAAGCACUUUGAAAAGAGGGUUAAAAAGUACGUGAAAUUGUUGAAAGGGAAGCAUUCAUGACCAGACUUGGGCUUGGUUGAACAUCCGGCGUUCUCGCCGGUGCACUCUGCCAGUCCAGGCCAGCAUCAGUUUGCCCCGGGGGACAAAGGCGGUGGGAAUGUGGCUCUCUCCGGGGAGUGUUAUAGCCCGCCGUGUAAUGCCCUGGGGCGGACUGAGGAACGCGCUUCGGCUCGGAUGCUGGCGUAAUGGUCAUCAAUGACCCGUCUUGAAACACGGACCAAGGAGUCGUCUUCGUAUGCGAGUGUUCGGGUGUCAAACCCCUACGCGAAAUGAAAGUGAACGUAGGUGAGAGCUUCGGCGCAUCACCGACCGAUCCUGAUGUUCUCGGACGGAUUUGAGUAAG
rnacentral:rRNA from 1 species